GAUGAACGCUGGCGGCGUGCUUAACACAUGCAAGUCGAACGAAGCAUUUGCGACAGAUUUUUUCGGAAUGAAGUUGCUUAUGACUGAGUGGCGGACGGGUGAGUAACGCGUGGGUAACCUGCCUUGUACUGGGGGAUAGCAGCUGGAAACGGCUGGUAAUACCGCAUAAGCGCACAAUGUUGCAUGACAUGGUGUGAAAAACUCCGGUGGUAUAAGAUGAACCCGCGUCUGAUUAGCUAGUUGGUGAGAUAACAGCCCACCAAGGCGACGAUCAGUAGCCGACCUGAGAGGGUGACCGGCCACAUUGGGACUGAGACACGGCCCAGACUCCUACGGGAGGCAGCAGUGGGGAAUAUUGCACAAUGGAGGAAACUCUGAUGCAGCGACGCCGCGUGAGUGAAGAAGUAAUUCGUUAUGUAAAGCUCUAUCAGCAGGGAAGAUAGUGACGGUACCUGACUAAGAAGCUCCGGCUAAAUACGUG
rnacentral:rRNA from 1 species